GCUCAACCGUGGAGGGUCAUUGGAAACUGGGAGGCUUGAGUGCAGAAGAGGAGAGCGGAAUUCCACGUGUAGCGGUGAAAUGCGUAGAGAUGUGGAGGAACACCAGUGGCGAAGGCGGCUCUCUGGUCUGUAACUGACGCUGAGGCGCGAAAGCGUGGGUAGCGAACAGGAUUAGAUACCCUGGUAGUCCACGCCGUAAACGAUGAGUGCUAAGUGUUAGGGGGUUUCCGCCCCUUAGUGCUGCAGCAAACGCAUUAAGCACUCCGCCUGGGGAGUACGGCCGCAAGGCUGAAACUCAAAGGAAUUGACGGGGGCCCGCACAAGCGGUGGAGCAUGUGGUUUAAUUCGAAGCAACGCGAAGAACCUUACCAGGUCUUGACAUCCCGCUGGCCGGUCUGGAGACAGAUCUUUCCCUUCGGGGACAGCGGUGACAGGUGGUGCAUGGUUGUCGUCAGCUCGUGUCGUGAGAUGUUGGGUUAAGUCCCGCAACGAGCGCAACCCUUGAUCUUAGUUGCCAGCAUUCAGUUGGGCACUCUAAGGUGACUGCCGGUGACAAACCGGAGGAAGGUGGGGAUGACGUCAAAUCAUCAUGCCCCUUAUGACCUGGGCUACACACGUGCUACAAUGGAUGGUACAGAG
rnacentral:rRNA from 1 species